GAUGUUUGGGGCGAUGGAGUUCGCCAUUAAAUCCGUAAACAGGCGGUGAUGACUCCUACCAGGUA
rnacentral:ncRNA from 1 species